rnacentral:rRNA from 1 species
UGGGGAAUUUUGGACAAUGGGCGAAAGCCUGAUCCAGCAAUGCCGCGUGUGUGAAGAAGGCCUUCGGGUUGUAAAGCACUUUUGUCCGGAAAGAAAUCCUUGGCUCUAAUACAGUCGGGGGAUGACGGUACCGGAAGAAUAAGCACCGGCUAACUACGUGCCAGCAGCCGCGGUAAUACGUAGGGUGCAAGCGUUAAUCGGAAUUACUGGGCGUAAAGCGUGCGCAGGCGGUUUGCUAAGACCGAUGUGAAAUCCCCGGGCUCAACCUGGGAACUGCAUUGGUGACUGGCAGGCUAGAGUAUGGCAGAGGGGGGUAGAAUUCCACGUGUAGCAGUGAAAUGCGUAGAGAUGUGGAGGAAUACCGAUGGCGAAGGCAGCCCCCUGGGCCAAUACUGACGCUCAUGCACGAAAGCGUGGGGAGCAAACAGGGUUAGAUACCCUGGUAGUCCACGCCCUAAACGAUGUCAACUAGUUGUUGGGGACUUCAUUUCCUUAGUAACGUAGCUAACGCGUGAAGUUGACCGCCU